AGUUCCACAGUGUAGCGGUUAGCACGUCUGCUUUAUAUGCAGAAGGUCCGGGGUUCGUGCCCCCGUGGAGCUG
rnacentral:tRNA from 1 species